rnacentral:rRNA from 1 species
UACGUAGGGGGCAAGCGUUGUCCGGAAUCAUUGGGCGUAAAGCGCGUGUAGGCGGCUCGGUAAGUCCGCUCUGAAAGUCCAGGGCUCAACCCUGGGAUGCGGGUGGAUACUGCCGAGCUCGAGUCCGGAAGAGGCGAGUGGAAUUCCUGGUGUAGCGGUGAAAUGCGCAGAUAUCAGGAGGAACACCAAUGGCGAAGGCAGCUCGCUGGGACGUGACUGACGCUGAGACGCGAAAGCUAGGGGAGCGAACGGG